AACAUGGUCCUCCUCCAUCUGAUGCUUACACCAUUUCCAGGUCCAUGACAGCAGAACUGCAGGAGGGUGGAUACUCUAGCAGCACUGAGGACCAGAUGGAAAGGAGCUACUACUAUUUUGGUCAGGAAAAAGGUCAAACACAAACCCAGACACACUCACGUCUCAGCCUUGACACAGUGUCUACUUGCUCCUUAAACUCAGCUGACGAUGUAUCCGUUAGGUCAGGUGACUCAGUUCGAAGUCUCCAGAGUGUAGCGUCUGAGGAUAAUCUCAACUGUGACCCAAGAGUACAGAAAGUACUGACUGGAGAAGAGCCCAACAGCUCUCUCCGUUGCAUUAGAGAUGAGAGGUCUCCUAUCAGUGUAACAGCUCCAAGUCCUAUGAAACAAGAGAGCAAUUCACCACCAGACAUAAAGCAUUCAGAGAGCACUCUAAAGGAUAACUUUGAAGAGUCAGCAUGGACUGAGAGGAUGGCUGAUGAGGAGGAAAUUGGACAAAGAAAGCUGUCUGCAGAGCAUGAGUGCAAAGCAGAGAUUGCGGAAAAGCAAGAGAAGUGGCUGGAGGAUGAGAAAAGUCCUUCUCUUUUUCAUAAAAUAAACAAAGCAGUAUUAGAGGAAGGUUACUCUUAUGAAACAGAAGAAAAUAUCUACCAAGGGCUGGAAAACAAAUUUGACUCAGAAAAAGAAAACUCGUCAGAGAUGGACUGUUUUUCUGAACUUAACCACAAAUGUAAUGAAGGCACAGAAAUAAAAUCGGAAAAUUUCAAAUCAGAACCACUGACCAAUGCUGAAAUGCUUGUGAAAACAUCAUCCAGCAAUUCAGGAACUGAUCUGUAUUUGCCGGAGAAAGAAGAAAAUUCAAAGAGUGAGGAUUCCAUAGAGAACCUCACAUGCACUGAAGGACCAGUGGACACCCUUGAGGACCAGCCGUCUGUCCUCUCCCAUAAUUCCACUGAGGUGAGAGAUGAAAAGGAGAGUCUGACAACCUCAGAGGAGGUCGUUAAUAAUAGAGCAAGACCACAAGAGUCCUUUGCAGAAGUCUGCAGUACACUUGAGGAAAUGGGAAACAUGCCACAAGUCAACACAGAAACUGCAGAAUGCUUUGCCCAGGACACACAACACAGAGGCAACGAAAGGAGGUCAGCCAUAUGUGACAUUGCACCUCAGCCUCACACUGGCAAGAGUGGCUUCUCAGCUCUCAAUGAGAAAACAACACCUUUGGCUGUGGCUAGGGAUCAUCACAUCGAUCGUAGUGAUGCAAAGGUACUGGAGCCUGACUCUCCUCAGUUGCCGGGCAAGUCAAUACUGCACUCUGCACCAUCUUGGGCUGACACCCCACCCUCUCCCAAAAAAGGGGAUGAGGAUAUGGAAUUGGGGAUCAGCUGUCCCAGUGCAGUGACUCCCUCAGCCAAACCAGAGCCUAUGGCCCCAUCUGCACAUACAAGAAUGUUCGGUAGGAAACAUGCACGGGGCAGGAGAAGACUAAUGCAUUCAAGUGUGGGAAUCAGAAGGCAGCUUAGUGUAGAAGGAGACAGUGCUUCUGCCCAAAAUCCCAGUAUGCCCUCCAGCAAAAGCACCCUUAUUCCUGACCAGAUUGAAACUGCCCACCAGGAUAUUAUCAGUCAAACACCAAAACUUGUGACAGAGAGUUUACCAUCACGAAUGUGCACUCGCUCCCACGGUUCACAAAGUAGCCCAAAAGUCUGCCCUCAACAGAGAAAGAAACCAGGUCCAAAGCCUGGUCCAAAACCAGGUGUGAAGCCAGGUCCAAAGCCUGGUCCAAAAUCAAAUCUAAAACUUGGACUGAAGCCUAGUCCAAAAUCAAUUUCAAAACCUGGUCCAAAACCAGGACUUAAACCUGACGUUAUGCCCAGUGUAAAACUUGCUCCCAAACCAAGUUUAAAAUGCACAGGACCCACAGAAAAUGCAAAGCCUGGUCCAAAAUCUCCUUUAAAGCCAGGUACUAAACCUGGUCCUAAAUCUGUUUCUAAACUAGGCUCAAAUCCUGCAGCUUUAGCAAGAGAAAUACUUGUUCCAAAGCCAAGUAAAACCACCGCAGAGUCAAAGACAAUUGAGGGCUCAGUACCUAAAGGACCAGGCCGACCAAGAGGGAUCACCUCUAAGAUCAAAUCAAUAAAGCGAGAUGAAAAUGUUCAGAUUACAAAAGACCAUACCAAGGACACACACUGUACACAUGAACUUAUUUUGCAAGAUGUGACCACAGCAUUAACUUUGGACACACUUGUGGGUGUUGUGGACACCAUUAAGGAUGAAACUGUGGGUUCCACUUUGGAAUCUACUCUAGACAGCAGUUGUGUGAAGUCCUUGGCAAGAAAUCAAAAGUCCAUGGUGCUGAGAUCACGGAAACAAACCAGAGAAAAGCUGACUGAAGUUAAAGAGCAAGAGAUUGAUAAAUCAACUGAGAAACCUUCAGCAAUUUUCAUACACUCACAAAUACAGGAUGCUACUGUGGAUCAGUCAUGUAAGACUGAAUCUUCAAAUCUUGAAUUACCUAAGCAGAAGGAUAAUUCUACAGAUUCACUUCAACAACCAAAUGAAGAGGUGGUUUGCCUCAAAACAAAAUCCAGUUUACCGUCCUCAGAAACCAAAAAGAGAAAGAAAGAUGUGCAAGAAAGUGAAGUGAAGACAAAAGAGCCUCCAUCAGAUACAGUCACAGGAGUCUGUAAUGCAAAGGGAAAGCGAAAGAGAGGACAACACUUGCAAGCAGAAUCUGAAAGCACCACUGUGACCACUGAUAACCCUCCCACUGAUGACGUCAGUGACAUGUCUUCUGUCCCUCCUCAGUGUCCCACUAAAACCAAAUAUUUGCCUCCUCGGAAAGGCAGGGGACUUAAAUAUGAGGCAAUGGUUCAGAAAAUCACAUCCCCGGGAUCCAAAAAGCAACCUGUAAAUAUCCAACAAGAUACUGUACCAGAAGAAUCAACAUUUAAACCAGUGCCACAGGUAUCGGAGCAGAAAGAGAUGAUGAACACCCCUGAGGUGACUCACGAGGUGGGCGAGAGUACAAUAAGUACACAAGAGACCCAAAAUAUAGGAAUUCAAACUCCAAGGAAAAAGAGGAGAAAGUGGGCCACUGUAGAGAGCAGUGAUGCACCAGAUGUAGCCCUGGAGGCUGGGAGCCUGGUUAUCAACACACCAAGGCUAGCCAAACAGAGAGCCAUUAAAAACAACCAUGAGAUGCAUCUGAAGCAACGAAAGAGGAGAAGAAAAGGCACUGAACCACCAGAAAGCAUCCCCAUUGUGGAGCAACAGGAGCCUAUACAGACUGAUAUUUUGCCCUCACCUCCACCCACCUUCUCUUUACCCGAAACAGGUGAACAGACACAGUAUGAGGAGCCACCAACAGAAUUAUGCUUACCACUAAUAAAACCCAAACGAGGCAGGCGGCCAUCACUCAAAAUCAAACAGGAGGAACUCUCAAGUCAAAUAGAAGAUGACAAAGUAAAGGAGAAAAAAAAGCCUGGGCCAAAAAAAAAGGUUAUGAAUGUCCUCAAAGUUGUAGUGAAGAGGCCUAACAUAAAGACAAAAUGCAGCAAUGAUCUCUGCCCAACAGUGAAAGGAACAUUAUCAGACUUGUAUUCAGCAAUGAGUAACAACAAAUGUUCUUUUAGACCAUAUGUACACAUUGACGGCUCUUUGGAGCCAGCAUCUCUUUGUACCAUCAUCAACAGGCCUGAGGAAGAGCAGAUCCUCAGCCAGGCAAGAAAAAAGUGUGCAGCUAAAAUGAAAAAUCUAGUCACAGUUACCAAGGCAGUAUCAAACUCCUCAGUAAUGCUCCAGGGGCCCUUAGUUAACAAAAGCCUAAAUGACAGGUGUCUAACGUGCUGCCUA
ensembl:lncRNA